UGUAUAAACAUCAUGAUAAACAUCUGUAUAAAAUCAAAACAAGUCAUAAUUCAAAUGUUUAUCUUUGUUAUUGUAAAAUUUAAAUGGUAAAAUAACAUAUUUAUCUCAUCACACAUAAUUAUCUAAUUUUAAUGAAAGUAUUUUAUUAAUUUCUAUUUAUAUAUUAAUUUCGAAUUAUAUCUUGGGUAAAAAGGUCAAUUCAUAAUUAAGGAAGUGUAUUUUUCAAAAGUUAAAAUAGAAAAUGCAAUUAUCAAAUUUCAAAUCAUAAAUAGGGUAUUUUGCAAAUUAUCCCUUAAAAAUAUUCUACAAAUAUUUUUCUUAGACAUUUAUUUUUUUAUUAUGGACAUUUACUUGUGAUCAUUUUACUUGUAUGAUUGUAUCUAGUAUGGGGCAAAAAAAUCAAAACAAAUACUCAUUUUCUCUCCACGUCUGAACCUUAUCUUAACGCGUGAACUCUGACGACCGGCGCGUGGUGGUUCGUUCAGCACCACCGCCAACCCCAGUCUCUGUAUUUCUUCAUCUUUGCUUAGUUCUAGUUCAGUUCGUGACUAAAACUCAGUUUUAAGAGAUAUGCUUUGGUCAAAUCAAUGAAACUUUGGAUCAGUUGUAGACUUUUGAUAAAAGCUCUGGAUCUGAUGAUCCAUGGUGUGGCUUAGCCACAAAGUUUUUGCUUAGAAAUCUAUGCCUAGAUUUGGUGAGUUUUAUUGUGUUGCAUAUCUUUGAGCUUCUUGUGUGGUACGCUCUUUAUCUAAGUGGAUGGAGUUUGUUGUGAAUUCCUAUGAUCCAUCUUUAUGUCGUUCGUGGUAUGUGUUCUUGGUGCUCCGGAUUAGGUAGGCUUGGCUCCUAGUUUCUUGUUCAAAUCUCCUGGAGAUUUGAUUUUGGUGUGGUUUCAUUCUUUGGUGUUUCUCAGUCGUGUACGACUCUGCUGUUUCCGGGGUUGAUUGAAUCCGAAGGAUUCUCCCUUACCGAUUUGUGAAGCUUGUGUUACUUGGGUCCUGAGUUGUUGUCUCGUUGUACUAGGAUGGAGUGGUUUACGGUUGUUUGGCCAGGGGCGUUCCCGUUUAACAGCUUUUAUAGAUUCUCUAUCAUUUAGAUUUUUCUGUUUUGUUGGUGCUACCAGCGGUCCACGGGUCUUGCUUAGUUUAAAGUAUUGGUCUAUAAGUGUUAGUUUGUAAUUGUUUGGGCUUCGGCUGCUCUUUAUGGGUUUUAGGUUUCGCAGAUAUUGUGUUGUCUGUCGGUUUAGUGAACCACAGACGAAGAUGGUCGUGUUUCAGGUUCAUUAUCGCAACCGAGCCAAAUCCGAAUGGAUACCCGAGCAUCCACCUCAUAUAUUAUAACAGAGAUCAUUUCUAUAUAUGUAAAGAAAAAUAUAUAUAAAUGUCAAUAUAUAUAUAUAUAUCCACAUAUUAUAUUACAUAAAAUAAAAAAGGCAAAUUUGUCUAUUAUAUAUUGUAUAAUAGUUGUAAAAAAAUUAUUGUAUAAUAUAAUCUGAAUUAUUAUAAUGAAGAUUUUGUAAAACAAUGUAUGCGCAUAGUGCGGAUAUUUUCUACUAUCAAAAAAGGCAGUAGAAGUAGAGAGUUUGAGGUGCGACAAAUCAAAUACAAGAUUGACGAACAAAAGCUUUUAGAAAAUGUUAUGUGUUACUUUAUUUUCUACUAUUUAACUUUUUAGUUUAUAACUAAUAUACUCAAUUGUUUUUUUAUUAUUGAUUUUAUAUGUUUAUUAUUUUCAAAGUAACAAAUGUUUUAUGGAUUUUUAAUUAAUUAAAAUAUUAUUAUUUGUAUCCAAGGUAUUAUAUAAAAUUAUAUAAAAUGAUUAUACGUAUCAUUAAAGAUAAUUUCAGAGACUUUUAUAUAUUUAAAAUAAUUUUAUAUAAUAUUAUUUUUAUGCUUUUUAAACUUAUUUAUUUGUAUGCUAUUUCAGUCACAUAUUAGUCAAAUCACUUUUGGAUUAAUUUCAAAAUAUGGAAAAGAGUAUUAAUUAUUGAACAAUCAAUGAGAGUUCGAUAAAUUAAUAUAUCCCAAUUAUAUUUUGGAAAAUUAAAAUAAAUAGAAAAUUGAAGUUUUUUUUUAACGUUGGUUCGUUAUGAUUUUACAAUUAUGAGAAAUAUUACAUAGACGAUCCGACAAUCGACAAUACUACCUGCCUUAUAAGGAUCUAUGUCUAACUGCAUCACCUGAUCCGUCAUACGAAGAUCACGCCUGACUGAGUUUAUUUGCACCAUGUUGAAGAUCCCUUGUAAGUCUUUCCUUCGUAAUCUGCAUAAUUAUUUAAUAAAUCGCCUUCUCCGAAAAUUGAAACCUGAACCUGCUGGUGUAGAAGCAUUAAUGAACCCUUAGUCAAACCAUUGGACUAAGGGGGCUUUCCAAACCAAAAAAAAAUAUUGAAGUUUUAUGAGGUGAAAAAUAUAUGGUGUCUAUUAAUUCUAUUUUUGUUCUUUUAACAGUUUUGUAGGCAUUUUAUACGGACUCAAUUUUCUAUCUUUAGAAAUAAAAUUUAGCUAUAUACAAUAACAUGACUAGAGGUACAUAAAAAAUUCAAGCAAUAAAGAAUCAGUUAAAAAAAUCAGUUUUUUUUUUAAAAAAAAUCAGUUAAAAAUAAAAGAAAACAUGUCUAAGGGUGAAAAUAUUGUUUGUUUCAUUAUCUUCUUAGUGAUAUUUUUGGUGGUUUCAACAGAGAAAAUAGCUGCUGAAAAACUGGACCGUGAUUGUCGAGGACUGCCACUCCUUGUGGCACCGCCUAAGAUUUGUGAUAAACAGAUUGAAUGUGACCGUCAUUGCAAGGCUCCACCGCUUAAUUUUGUAAGAGGCGCAUGUGUCAUUCCCAAGAGGGCGAGUACAAAAGUUUGCACUUGCUAUCGGAACCAGGCUGAUUGCAAGGCACCACCACGCUGAAGAGAGCUACGGACUUGACAAGUGAACAGAAAAAAAUAUCUGCUUAUAGUUUUCUAAUAAUUUACUUACUAUUUUCUCUGUUUAUAAAUAUUAAUGUUUAAAUAUUUCACUCAUAUUAAGAUGUAAAAAUAAACUAUUUUAUUAA